AGUGAACGCUGGCGGUAGGCCUAACACAUGCAAGUCGAACGGCAGCACAGUAAGAGCUUGCUCUUACGGGUGGCGAGUGGCGGACGGGUGAGGAAUACAUCGGAAUCUACUUUUUCGUGGGGGAUAACGUAGGGAAACUUACGCUAAUACCGCAUACGACCUACGGGUGAAAGCAGGGGAUCUUCGGACCUUGCGCGAUUGAAUGAGCCGAUGGCGGAUUAGCUAGUUGGCGGGGUAAAGGCCCACCAAGGCGACGAUCCGUAGCUGGUCUGAGAGGAUGAGCGGACACAUGGGGACUGAGAUAGGGCCCAGACGCCUGUGGGAGGCAGCAGUGGGGAAUAUUGAACAAUGGGCGGAAGCCAGAGGCAGCAACGCCGGGUGCGGGAUGAUGGCCUUAUGGUUGUAAACCGCUUCAGCCUGUGACGAAGCGUGAGUGAAGGUAAUGGGUAAAGAAGCACAGGCUAACUACGUG
rnacentral:rRNA from 1 species